rnacentral:rRNA from 1 species
GAGUGGCGAACUGGUGAGUAACACGUGGGUAACCUGCCCUUGAAGUAGGGGAUAACACUUGGAAACAGGUGCUAAUACCGUAUAACAACCAAAACCACAUGGUUUUGGUUUAAAAGAUGGCUUCGGCUAUCACUUUAGGAUGGACCCGCGGCGUAUUAGCUUGUUGGUAAGGUAAUGGCCUACCAAGGCAAUGAUACGUAGCCGACCUGAGAGGGUAAUCGGCCACAUUGGGACUGAGACACGGCCCAAACUCCUACGGGAGGCAGCAGUAGGGAAUCUUCCACAAUGGACGAAAGUCUGAUGGAGCAACGCCGCGUGAGUGAUGAAGGGUUUCGGCUCGUAAAACUCUGUUGUUGGAGAAGAACAGGUGUCAGAGUAACUGUUGACAUCUUGACGGUAUCCAACCAGAAAGCCACGGCUAACUACGUGCCAGCAGCCGCGGUAAUACGUAGGUGGCAAGCGUUGUCCGGAUUUAUUGGGCGUAAAGCGAGCGCAGGCGGUUUCUUAGGUCUGAUGUGAAAGCCUUCGGCUUAACC